GACGAACCGUGCAAACGUUGUUCGGAAUCACUGGGCUUAAAGGGCGCGUAGGCGGGUCUCCCAGUCUGUGGUGAAAUCCUCCAGCUUAACUGGAGAAGUGCCGUGGAUACUGGAGACCUCGAGGAGGGUAGGGGCAUCUGGAACGGUCGGUGGAGCGGUGAAAUGCGUUGAUAUCGACCGGAACUCCGGUGGCGAAGGCGAGGUGCUGGACCCUUUCUGACGCUGAUGCGCGAAAGCCAGGGGAGCAAACGGG
rnacentral:rRNA from 1 species